UCCCGUUUAGCUCAGUUGGUAGAGCGCGUCACUAGUACCACGUUGGUAUGACGAGGUCAGUCGUUCGAGUCGGCUAAUGGGAA